rnacentral:misc_RNA from 1 species
GAUUUUCAUAUAUAUCGAUAGAUUCAUAAAAAUUAAGUAGAAGUCCCAACAUACCAUCCACUAUAAAUUGUAAUAUUACAACAAAACGACAUGGGAUCGAGCCAUGCAACAGAAAGUAAUUGCCAUUUGCCAUAAACAUGUUUCCAAAGACUUAGGAAGAGGAGGGAGGAACCAUAGCUCUAAAGCCAUUGCUUAAAGAGAAAAACCUUCCAGAGGGGCAAAUUUUGCUAGAAUUUCCGAUUCUCGCUUUACUGCAUUUGUCUUUUUCAGCUCCAAUUCUGGCAUUUUGCAGUUGGCAAGCUGAAUCUCACGCACAACUUUUGGAAUUGCAUUUGCCACCACCUUUUGAGCAUAAGUCACCUCGACCUUUGCUGCCUUGUUAGUCUCAAUUGCAUUAGUAAGCUCAUCUCGCCUGGAUUGAAGUAGAGCUAUUUGAAUGUCAAUUUCUUGCACAGUCAAUA